AUACCUUUCUCGGCCUUUUGGCUAAGAUCAAGUGUAGUAUCUGUUCUUAUCAGUUUAAUAUCUGAUAUGUGGGCCAAUGGUCCACACGAUAUUAAAUUAAUUUUUUAAGGGUGAGAGGCCACCUCAGUAGCUUGCUACUGGGUCUCACGCGCGUCGCCCAUGCGUUGCACUAUAGCAUGGGCCUGGCGCAACCCUC